UGGGGAAUAUUGCACAAUGGGCGCAAGCCUGAUGCAGCCAUGCCGCGUGUAUGAAGAAGGCCUUCGGGUUGUAAAGCACUUUCAGCGGGGAGGAAGGCGAUAAGGUUAAUAACCUUGUCGAUUGACGUUACCCGCAGAAGAAGCACCGGCUAACUCCGUGCCAGCAGCCGCGGUAAUACGGAGGGUGCAAGCGUUCAUCGGAAUUACUGGGCGUAAAGCGCACGCAGGCGGUCUGUCAAGUCGGAUGUGAAAUCCCCGGGCUCAACCUGGGAACUGCAUUCGAAACUGGCAGGCUAGAGUCUUGUAGAGGGGGGUAGAAUUCCAGGUGUAGCGGUGAAAUGCGUAGAGAUGUGGAGGAAUACCGGUGGCGAAGGCGGCCCCCUGGACAAAGACUGACGCUCAGGUGCGAAAGCGUGGGGAGCAAACAGG
rnacentral:rRNA from 1 species